AUAAACUGCAUGGUAAAAUAGAGCCUGACAAAACAUGAUUUGCAUUUGCCAAAGAAACCAACAGUAAGAGGAAAUUAUUUGGCCAGCACACAGGUAAAAUAGCUUUUCUCUCUUUGGCAGAACAUAAGUUUAGUGAAUGCAAAGAGGAGGUGGCAAUAUGUAGCCCAUGAAUUCUGCUCUCUCUAUUUAAAAUUGGGCUUUCACUACUGCUACUUUGUCAGGGCUUGCUGUAAGACGCCAGAGGCCUAAGUUUGUCUCUGCUAAUAACAGCUUACUUUUUUAUCCUUUGCAUUGUGGCAGCAGCAAGGGAUCCAUGCCUGGAGCUUCAUUUGCCAGAGGAAAAUAACUCACAACUUCUUUCACUGAGCAGAAAGUUUACAAGCCAGGCAGAAAGAAAACAGACUGCAAAUGAGGGAAUAUGAAAGACAGAUGAGUUUAGGCCUGAGUCACCAGAUGCCAAAACAAAGAGUUCUCAGCUCCAAACUGUUUUUCUCACUAAAGACCACACUUUAUGGAAUGGCAUGCAGUUAACUGGCCAGAAAGUAAUGCACAAAUCUGAAGAAACCUUCACACCUUCUCCACAGGGCUGACUGCUCAGCCUUCAGACCCAGUGUCAGGGUGAGACUGGGGGCACAGACCCCACCGCAGCCCUCCCCUUCCACGAUCCCCUCACACCUCCUGGACUCCACUCUGGCUCUUUUAUUCCAUAACAUACUCCGUGGGCUACACUGCACUCUCUCUACCUAAAUUCCUAAGAUUUGAACCCAUGCUCUGUCAGGGCCAUCAUAAAAUAAAUUAGAAAAGCAUAGUUAAUAAAUUAUAAGUGAGCGCUAACUCUGGUCCUGCAUGCUGCCCACCUGAUGCUCAUCUCCUCUGAGGCCUCUGUGACACCAUGCUGUCCUGUCUGCACCAUGCUCCCUCCGGAGACACAAGCUGCAGCGUGACACUGACAGGAAUCUGGGGUUGUGAAAGACUGUGUGUCAAAGCUUCACAAACUGGGCUUCCUGUCAACAUUUCUCAGCUGCAAGCGCACAGAGGAAUGAAAUACAGCACAGCUAACCUGAAGGAAGCAAUGAUGCACAGCUGUUUUAUUGUCUGGUAUAGGCUAUGA
rnacentral:lncRNA from 1 species